rnacentral:rRNA from 1 species
AGAACGAACGCUGGCGGCAGGCUUAACACAUGCAAGUCGAGCGCGUGUAGCAAUACACGAGCGGCGCACGGGUGAGUAACGCGUGGAUAUCUGCCUUUUGGUUCGGAAUAACCCCGGGAAACUGGGGCUAAUACCGGAUGGUUCCUACGGGAUAAAGAUUUAUCGCCAAAAGAUGAGUCCGCGUCCGAUUAGCUAGUUGGUGAGGUAACGGCUCACCAAGGCGACGAUCGGUAGCUGGUCUGAGAGGACGAUCAGCCACACUGGGACUGAGACACGGCCCAGACUCCUACGGGAGGCAGCAGUGGGGAAUAUUGGACAAUGGGGGCAACCCUGAUCCAGCCAUGCCGCGUGAGUGAUGAAGGCCUUCGGGUUGUAAAGCUCUUUUGGCGGGGACGAUGAUGACGGUACCCGCAGAAUAAGCCCCGGCUAACUUCGUGCCAGCAGCCGC